AAAAGUCAGUGUAAACACCAUGCAUGAAUGGGAAACCCAAAACUGUCUGAGGAAGCAUUUACCCCAAACUGAUCUUGCUGCAGGGGGAAACAACCAUCAGACCUCAACUGAUCAUGCUAAAGAGGACAACCACCAUCAGCUGGAUUAAGUGGUAACCAGGGAAUGACAAAGAGAAUUUUGAAACAAAGAAGGCAUCAAUCUGAAAAGAUGUACAAAAGAAGCACAAAAAUUUGUUAAGGGAGUAAAUUUGUAAGACCUCAUUUGUAAGACCAAAAUUUGUAAGACCUCAGAGCAGGAACAGAGCAGCAGUGAAAACCCAAUCUAGCACUGACAGCGGUCACCCUGCUGGCAUCACACCUCUGCCCAGACCCAGUGCAGCAGCCUCCUGUCUGUGGGACUGCUGGUGACCUGCUGGGGUGCCUUUCCACUAGUGGGUGCGUUAGGUGGUUGUAGGGAGCAGCAUGGGCACCCCUAAAGCAGGAGUGGCCACAACCCCAGCAGGAGCAGGUUGUAAGCAGGGGAACCCACGUUCCCAGAAGUGACCCCCUUUGCUGGAAAGGGAGGGGUGGGUGUCUGUGUGUCUGGUAUGAAAACUUCUGGAGAUUAGUUAUAGAAGCAUGCCGAGGAGCUUGUAGGUAUUUAUUAGUGUCUUCUAAUUGUCUAACACUGUGGUUUAACUGUUGUGUUGCUGACAUUGGUCCUGAACGUAUAGUUCACUGAUUGUCGGUUAAUUACACAUUCUUCAAUCAAUACACCACUUCAGCCCUGAUUUGGUUUAACCAAAAAAAAAAAAAAAGGUUGUUUUUUAUUAUUUUUUUUAAAAAGGUUUUCCCCAGUCUUGACAGGAGAAGGCCUGUAUGCUCAGUCAUUGAGAAAGCAUUCACUUCAUGGUGAACUAGAGACGGAGCAGGGCACUGGAUGGUUUCUAGGGUGGACUGGCUGGCAGGAAGGUGGAGACAGAAAAGGGGGAUGCGUGACAGACAGUGUGCUGUGUGCCUGGUGUUUGAUAACCGGGGUAAAUACCGCUGGUGGACAGUAUAGAGUUGCCCUGGCUGAGCACACCCACCAGCAGUGAAACUUGCCAGCUAUCAACAUAGUUCUGGUGGAAGCAACGGCAACUUGUUAAGGCAGCAGUAGUCAAACCAUAUUGUCAGACUUUCUCUUUUUGGCUGAUGAGGGGAAAAUUACCCUAAUCUCACUGAAGAUAAUAUGAAAAUAAUUUCCUGCAGGAAAUCCAUCCUGUUUUCACACAGGGAAGAAGCAUUACCCAGGAACUAGCUAUGAAGUUGGCAAGAACAGCACAGUUCUGUGCCAAUGGGCACCCGGAGCCCUUACUGGAGCAGCAGCCAGCUUUCUGGUACCCGGCCACCAAGCUCUGGCAACAACACGAGCUCUUGAUGCAGCCAGCAUCUGCACGGCUGGGGGAGAUAAGGAGCCUGCAUCUGCAUGGGACUGAUUCAGCUUCACCCCUGCUGUUUGACACAAAAUGGCUCCUAUCGGAUAUAGCAGCAAUAUGCACCAUUAAAACAGGUCACCAUUAGUUUUCUGUCUUGGCAGCAAGACUGUAAGGCUUCAGUCUGUGCUUGCUCCUGACCGUGGUUUGUAAGGGGUUUCCAGUGGUAGGUUGUAUUUGGGCACCAGCCUGCUCAGCUGCCCCAGUUAGACCUCUGCUGUCUCCAGGGCCGGCGCGUCUGGGACUCCCAGCACUAAACCAAGUCAAAGAACGAGAACUAAACAAACUCCAAAACUAUUUUGAGGCCUGCUCUAAUACUCUUUAAGAAGACAAACAAGAUCAGAGUGGAAAACAUUUCUAUCUUUAGCCAUCAGGAGCAAGACUUAUCUGAGCAACUCCACACAGAAGCUGGCAAUGGGAAUGGCUGAGAUGACCAACUGAGGUGGCCUGCUCAUCACCCGUGGUGACCCAAUGACUCACAGUCCUUCCUCGCUGCACCAUGAGAAGAGACUAGCCACACAGAAUGACGCACUCUGCUAGGCACAUACUUAAUUUAUAAGUGCUAAUUAAUUGAAUAAUGGGUUGGUUAGCAAGGCCCCUGGUCUACACUGUAUUCAAAACACCAUCUGGAAAACGGCUGGUGAGGUUAGCAAGAUGGAUGCUCAGUUAAAUCUGAUACCUUUGUAAGAGAAUCUGUCCCAGAAUAACUGAUGAGACGGUAUUUAACGAUGACGAUGUGUAUUUGUUCUCCAGGAGAACUUAUGUGAGAUAGCAAACGUUUGGUCAUUGGGAUGGUGAUCAGUGUGCUUCAUUCCUGUGACAAACAGUGGAAUGAAUUUCCUGUUUUAAAUGGAAAGUAAACAGUCUACUCAAAGCACUUUAAAUGUCAUCAGUCUCUUAGAAAGUGCACAUUAGUAGGUUGUGACUCUGAAAGCAGUUUAGCUCUUCAGUGUAACUUGUGCCUCCACCUAGGUCCACUGGAUGCACACAGCUGAGAACAGCCAUCUUUACACCGAUAGCCUUGUUCCAGGUCAGGGAGUUUCUGACUUGCCUCUGAAUUGAAAGGCUGAAGCACUGGACAGAUAUUGCUGUUUCAGUUCUUCCACAUUUAUCUCAGGGAUCAAGUUUCCAGGAAUCUGCUGCAGUUGAGUUCCCAUAACAAAAUACCAUAGGAGAAGUCACCCACAUCAGGUGCUCACAACAGGCCUGCAAAUCCUUCUCUCCCUUCUUAGCUUCAAAGCACACUGAAGAGUAGAUGCACAGAUAUUGUUAUGGCCCGUUUUCUAACAAGUGGGUACAUGGCGGCACGUGGAAAGCUGGUGGCAGAAGAAAGAGCAGAAUGGGCAUUUUGCUGCCUUGGGUAUGGCUUCAGGCAGGUGACGGCACCAUCCUUGGUAGGUGGCAGGCACCAGAGAGGGGUGCAGCUGGUAACCUCGCACAGAGCCAUGUGCAGCUGCCCAAAGCCUGCAUCUGCUGGGCCCUGAGAGAGAACAAUGCACGUCUUGCCUCAUGUAUGGGUUUGACUGCAUGGAGAUACACCGGAAAGCUAAUCUGAAUGAACUUUUGCAAGCUAACAAAACAUUAAAAAACUUAAUUAAAUCACAUUAAAGCCCCACGUGGGCAUUUUGACUUGGAUUUAAAGGUGUGCUUAUUCUCUGCAGUAUACUUCACUUCCAAAGCAAGUUGAAGAACAUUUAAUUUAGUCCACCCUAAUUCUUACUGAAGGUGUCCACUAUAAUGCAGUUGAUUCACCUACGUGAAAUUCAUGCUUUUAGUUCACUGAGAUGACUUUUUCCUGAGCUUUCUUCUGUAAAGAAUCCCUUCCAGAGAGAGAAGAAGGGACUUGUUUAGGAUCAUCCCAAAGAAGCUCCAGGAGCAGAAGCUGGGGAGCCCAGACAUACACAAGCACUUAGGGAAGCAGCUUUUCUCUCCACCACCUUUCUGUCACUGCUGGAAAUGUUUUCUGUGGAUCUAGCCCUACUGUACUCUUUAUCUACCCCUACCACAAUCAUGCUUUGCUGCAGACCUGAACAGCAGAAGCAAGUCUCAGCAAUUAACAGACUGAUAACACUGCUGGGCAAAUGCUGACCGAUGAACACGGCAGUAACAUGCAGUGGCACAGGAGCAGGAAUGAGCUUUGGAGGGAGAAGAAAGGGAAGGAAAGGAUGAUGUCGGGAAGUGAAAGAGCAAUACCUGAAACCAGUAUCACCAAAGAAGACUCUGUGCCAUCAAGGCACCAUCCCAGGCACAUAGAAACCAAAUGACUUGUCCACUGGAAAAGAGCAAGUUAUUGGCAGAGAAAGCAUUAUUUUAAGAGAUGCUGACACCUCCUUAUCCCUUCGCUCAACUCCACGCAUGCUUCUGCUCUG